rnacentral:rRNA from 1 species
UACGUAGGGGGCAAGCGUUGUCCGGAUUUAUUGGGCGUAAAGAGCGUGUAGGCGGCCAGACAGGUCCGUUGUGAAAACUAGAGGCUUAACCUCUAGACGUCGAUGGAAACCGUUUGGCUAGAGUCCGGAAGAGGAGAAUGGAAUUCCACGUGUAGCGGUGAAAUGCGUAGAGAUGUGGAGGAACACCAGUGGCGAAGGCGACUCUCUGGUCUGUAACUGACGCUGAGGAGCGAAAGCGUGGGGAGCAAACAGG